rnacentral:rRNA from 1 species
CUUUGGGAUAACCCUCGGAAACGGGGGCUAAUACCGGAUAUUCACAUUCUGUCGCAUGGUGGGGUGUGGAAAGUUUUUUCGGCUUGGGAUGGGCUCGCGGCCUAUCAGCUUGUUGGUGGGGUGAUGGCCUACCAAGGCGGUGACGGGUAGCCGGCCUGAGAGGGCGACCGGCCACACUGGGACUGAGACACGGCCCAGACUCCUACGGGAGGCAGCAGUGGGGAAUAUUGCACAAUGGGCGGAAGCCUGAUGCAGCGACGCCGCGUGGGGGAUGACGGCCUUCGGGUUGUAAACCUCUUUCGGCCCUGACGAAGCGUUUGUGACGGUAGGGGCAGAAGAAGCGCCGGCCAACUACGUGCCAGCAGCCGCGGUAGGACGUAGGGCGCGAGCGUUGUCCGGAUUUAUUGGGCGUAAAGAGCUCGUAGGCGGCUUGUCGCGUCGGCUGUGAAAUCCCGUGGCUUAACUGCGGGUCUGCAGCCGAUACGGGCAGGCUAGAGUUCGGUAGGGGAGACUGGAAUUCCUGGUGUAGCGGUGAAAUGCGCAGAUAUCAGGAGGAACACCGGUGGCAAAGGCGGGUCUCCGGGCCGAUACUGACGCUGAGGAGCGAAAGCGUGGGGAGCGAACAGGAUUAGAUACCCUGGUAGUCCACGCUGUAAACGUUGGGCGC